GGAGAACAUACGUCUACACAAAUGGGCUCAGGCCAUUUUGGUGAUGAUGGAUUUAGAAAAGCCAGUUAUUUCAGAAAUCUUGAAAUUGUGGACUCUGAUAACAGCCUAAGUUCAGCCCAAGAUAUAUCAAUCUUGGCUGAGAAUACAAAUUGCUAUAACAUCAAAAAUGCUUAUAGCACUGAAUGGGGUACACAUUUCUAUUAUGGUGGACCUGGUAGAAAUCCACAAUGCAACUAAUAUAAUGAUGAUGAGGCAAAGUUUCCUUUAGCUA
rnacentral:misc_RNA from 1 species